UGCUAAUACCGCAUAACAACGUUGUUCGCAUGAACAACGCUUAAAAGAUGGCUUCUCGCUAUCACUUCUGGAUGGACCUGCGGUGCAUUAGCUUGUUGGUGGGGUAACGGCCUACCAAGGCGAUGAUGCAUAGCCGAGUUGAGAGACUGAUCGGCCACAAUGGGACUGAGACACGGCCCAUACUCCUACGGGAGGCAGCAGUAGGGAAUCUUCCACAAUGGGCGCAAGCCUGAUGGAGCAACACCGCGUGAGUGAAGAAGGGUUUCGGCUCGUAAAGCUCUGUUGUUAAAGAAGAACACGUAUGAGAGUAACUGUUCAUACGUUGACGGUAUUUAACCAGAAAGUCACGGCUAACUACGUGCCAGCAGCCGCGGUAAUACGUAGGUGGCAAGCGUUAUCCGGAUUUAUUGGGCGUAAAGAGAGUGCAGGCGGUUUUCUAAGUCUGAUGUGAAAGCCUUCGGCUUAACCGGAGAAGUGCAUCGGAAACUGGAUAACUUGAGUGCAGAAGAGGGUAGUGGAACUCCAUGUGUAGCGGUGGAAUGCGUAGAUAUAUGGAAGAACACCAGUGGCGAAGGCGGCUACCUGGUCUGCAACUGACGCUGAGACUCGAAAGCAUGGGUAGCGAACAGGAUUAGAUACCCUGGUAGUCCAUGCCGUAAACGAUGAGUGCUAGGUGUUGGAGGGUUUCCGCCCUUCAGUGCCGGAGCUAACGCAUUAAGCACUCCGCCUGGGGAGUACGACCGCAAGGUUGAAACUCAAAGGAAUUGACGGGGGCCCGCACAAGCGGUGGAGCAUGUGGUUUAAUUCGAAGCUACGCGAAGAACCUUACCAGGUCUUGACAUCUUGCGCCAACCCUAGAGAUAGG
rnacentral:rRNA from 1 species